CCCCUAGACGUUCUGGGCUGCACGCGCGCUACAAUAAUACGCACAGCGAGUAUCACCGAGCUCGAAAGGGCAAGGUAAACAAUAGAAAAGGUACUGUAAUGGUUAUAGAUCCUUGUAAUUAUUGAUCUUCAACGAGGAAUUCCUAGUAAGUAUGUGUCAUCAUCACGCACUGAUUACGUCCCUGCCCUUUGUACACACCGCCCGUCGCUCCUACCGAUUGGGUGAGCCGAUGAAACUCUCGGAUGUAGGCUAUUCAUAGCCCGCAGAAGAGAUUUGAAUCGUAGCGCUGAGAGGAAGGAGAAGUCGUAACA
rnacentral:rRNA from 1 species